rnacentral:rRNA from 1 species
AAAAACAUAGCCUUUAGCCACACACUAGUAUUAAAGGUCCUGCCUGCCCAGUGAAAAUUUUAACGGCCGCGGUACCAUAACCGUGCAAAGGUAGCGUAAUCACUUGUCCCCUAAAUAGGGACCCGUAUGAAUGGCUAAAUGAGGGCAAACCUGUCCCCUUGGACUACUCAAUGAAACUGAUCUAGCAGUACAAAAGCUGGUAUACACCCAUAAGACGAGAAGACCCUGUGGAGCUUUAAACUAAACACUACCCCAAACACCACCACCGCUACGGCGGCGAACGCACUCCCAUAAUAGUGCUAGAUUUUAGUUGGGGCGACUACGGAAUAUAACAAAACUUCCAUGAUUCAGGCUCCCCCCCAUCAAAGACCUACAAGUCAACGAUAAACAAAACUGACCCAGUAAUACUGAUCACCGAACCAAGUUACCCCAGGGAUAACAGCGCCAUCCCCUUUAAGAGUCCAUAUCGCCAAGGGGGCUUACGACCUCGAUGUUGGAUCAGGACCCCCAGGUGGUGCAGCCGCUACCAACGGUUCGUUUGUUCAACGAUUAAUGUCCUACGUGAUCU